ACUACGGGGCGCAGCAGUGAGGAAUAUUGGUCAAUGGGCGCGAGCCUGAACCAGCCAAGUAGCGUGAAGGAUGACUGCCCUACGGGUUGUAAACUUCUUUUAUGAAGGAAUAAAGUGAGGCACGUGUGCCUUUUUGUAUGUACUUUAUGAAUAAGGAUCGGCUAACUCCGGGCCAGCAGCCGCGGGAAUAAGGAGGAUCCGAGCGUUAUCCGGAUUUAUUGGGAUUAAAGGGAGCGUAGAUGGGAUGUUACGUCAGUUGUGAAAGUUUGCGGCUAAACCGCAAAAUUGCAAUUGAU
rnacentral:rRNA from 1 species